GGGUUGUGAGGUUAAGCGACUAAGCGUACACGGUGGAUGCCCUGGCAGUCAGAGGCGAUGAAGGACGUGCUAAUCUGCGAUAAGCGUCGGUAAGGUGAUAUGAACCGUUAUAACCGGCGAUUUCCGAAUGGGGAAACCCAGUGUGUUUCGACACACUAUCAUUAACUGAAUCCAUAGGUUAAUGAGGCGAACCGGGGGAACUGAAACAUCUAAGUACCCCGAGGAAAAGAAAUCAACCGAGAUUCCCCCAGUAGCGGCGAGCGAACGGGGAGCAGCCCAGAGCCUGAAUCAGUGUGUGUGUUAGUGGAAGCGUCUGGAAAGGCGCGCGAUACAGGGUGACAGCCCCGUACACAAAAAUGCACAUGCUGUGAGCUCGAUGAGUAGGGCGGGACACGUGGUAUCCUGUCUGAAUAUGGGGGGACCAUCCUCCAAGGCUAAAUACUCCUGACUGACCGAUAGUGAACCAGUACCGUGAGGGAAAGGCGAAAAGAACCCCGGCGAGGGGAGUGAAAAAGAACCUGAAACCGUGUACGUACAAGCAGUGGGAGCCUCUUUUAUGGGGUGACUGCGUACCUUUUGUAUAAUGGGUCAGCGACUUAUAUUCUGUAGCAAGGUUAACCGAAUAGGGGAGCCGAAGGGAAACCGAGUCUUAACUGGGCGUUAAGUUGCAGGGUAUAGACCCGAAACCCGGUGAUCUAGCCAUGGGCAGGUUGAAGGUUGGGUAACACUAACUGGAGGACCGAACCGACUAAUGUUGAAAAAUUAGCGGAUGACUUGUGGCUGGGGGUGAAAGGCCAAUCAAACCGGGAGAUAGCUGGUUCUCCCCGAAAGCUAUUUAGGUAGCGCCUCGUGAAUUCAUCUCCGGGGGUAGAGCACUGUUUCGGCAAGGGGGUCAUCCCGACUUACCAACCCGAUGCAAACUGCGAAUACCGGAGAAUGUUAUCACGGGAGACACACGGCGGGUGCUAACGUCCGUCGUGAAGAGGGAAACAACCCAGACCGCCAGCUAAGGUCCCAAAGUCAUGGUUAAGUGGGAAACGAUGUGGGAAGGCCCAGACAGCCAGGAUGUUGGCUUAGAAGCAGCCAUCAUUUAAAGAAAGCGUAAUAGCUCACUGGUCGAGUCGGCCUGCGCGGAAGAUGUAACGGGGCUAAACCAUGCACCGAAGCUGCGGCAGCGACACUGUGUGUUGUUGGGUAGGGGAGCGUUCUGUAAGCCUGUGAAGGUGUACUGUGAGGUAUGCUGGAGGUAUCAGAAGUGCGAAUGCUGACAUAAGUAACGAUAAAGCGGGUGAAAAGCCCGCUCGCCGGAAGACCAAGGGUUCCUGUCCAACGUUAAUCGGGGCAGGGUGAGUCGACCCCUAAGGCGAGGCCGAAAGGCGUAGUCGAUGGGAAACAGGUUAAUAUUCCUGUACUUGGUGUUACUGCGAAGGGGGGACGGAGAAGGCUAUGUUGGCCGGGCGACGGUUGUCCCGGUUUAAGCGUGUAGGCUGGUUUUCCAGGCAAAUCCGGAAAAUCAAGGCUGAGGCGUGAUGACGAGGCACUACGGUGCUGAAGCAACAAAUGCCCUGCUUCCAGGAAAAGCCUCUAAGCAUCAGGUAACAUCAAAUCGUACCCCAAACCGACACAGGUGGUCAGGUAGAGAAUACCAAGGCGCUUGAGAGAACUCGGGUGAAGGAACUAGGCAAAAUGGUGCCGUAACUUCGGGAGAAGGCACGCUGAUAUGUAGGUGAAGCGACUUGCUCGUGGAGCUGAAAUCAGUCGAAGAUACCAGCUGGCUGCAACUGUUUAUUAAAAACACAGCACUGUGCAAACACGAAAGUGGACGUAUACGGUGUGACGCCUGCCCGGUGCCGGAAGGUUAAUUGAUGGGGUCAGCGCAAGCGAAGCUCUUGAUCGAAGCCCCGGUAAACGGCGGCCGUAACUAUAACGGUCCUAAGGUAGCGAAAUUCCUUGUCGGGUAAGUUCCGACCUGCACGAAUGGCGUAAUGAUGGCCAGGCUGUCUCCACCCGAGACUCAGUGAAAUUGAACUCGCUGUGAAGAUGCAGUGUACCCGCGGCAAGACGGAAAGACCCCGUGAACCUUUACUAUAGCUUGACACUGAACAUUGAGCCUUGAUGUGUAGGAUAGGUGGGAGGCUUUGAAGUGUGGACGCCAGUCUGCAUGGAGCCGACCUUGAAAUACCACCCUUUAAUGUUUGAUGUUCUAACGUGGACCCGUGAUCCGGGUUGCGGACAGUGUCUGGUGGGUAGUUUGACUGGGGCGGUCUCCUCCUAAAGAGUAACGGAGGAGCACGAAGGUUGGCUAAUCCUGGUCGGACAUCAGGAGGUUAGUGCAAUGGCAUAAGCCAGCUUGACUGCGAGCGUGACGGCGCGAGCAGGUGCGAAAGCAGGUCAUAGUGAUCCGGUGGUUCUGAAUGGAAGGGCCAUCGCUCAACGGAUAAAAGGUACUCCGGGGAUAACAGGCUGAUACCGCCCAAGAGUUCAUAUCGACGGCGGUGUUUGGCACCUCGAUGUCGGCUCAUCACAUCCUGGGGCUGAAGUAGGUCCCAAGGGUAUGGCUGUUCGCCAUUUAAAGUGGUACGCGAGCUGGGUUUAGAACGUCGUGAGACAGUUCGGUCCCUAUCUGCCGUGGGCGCUGGAGAACUGAGGGGGGCUGCUCCUAGUACGAGAGGACCGGAGUGGACGCAUCACUGGUGUUCGGGUUGUCAUGCCAAUGGCACUGCCCGGUAGCUAAAUGCGGAAGAGAUAAGUGCUGAAAGCAUCUAAGCACGAAACUUGCCCCGAGAUGAGUUCUCCCUGAC
rnacentral:rRNA from 1 species